rnacentral:rRNA from 1 species
UACGGGGGGGGCAAGCGUUGUUCGGAAUUACUGGGCGUAAAGGGCUCGUAGGUGGCCAACUAAGUCAGACGUGAAAUCCCUCGGCUUAACCGGGGAACUGCGUCUGAUACUGGAUGGCUAGAGAUUGGGAGAGGGAUGCGGAAUUCCAGGUGUAGCGGUGAAAUGCGUAGAUAUCAGGAGGAACACCAAUUGCGAAGGCAGCUCGCUGGGACGUCACUGACGCUGAGGAGCGAAAGCAUGGGGAGCGAACAGG